rnacentral:rRNA from 1 species
AACGAACGCUGGCGGCAGGCCUAACACAUGCAAGUCGAACGCCGUAGCAAUACGGAGUGGCAGACGGGUGAGUAACGCGUGGGAACCUUCCCAGUGGUACGGAAUAACUCAGGGAAACUUGAGCUAAUACCGUAUACGCCCCUCGGGGGAAAGAUUUAUCGCCAUUGGAUGGGCCCGCGUCGGAUUAGCUAGUUGGUGAGGUAACGGCUCACCAAGGCGACGAUCCGUAGCUGGUCUGAGAGGAUGAUCAGCCACACUGGGACUGAGACACGGCCCAGACUCCUACGGGAGGCAGCAGUGGGGAAUAUUGGACAAUGGGCGCAAGCCUGAUCCAGCCAUGCCGCGUGAGUGACGAAGGCCUUAGGGUUGUAAAGCUCUUUUGGCGGGGAAGAUAAUGACGGUACCCGCAGAAUAAGCUCCGGCUAACUUCGUGCCAGCAGCCGCCGUAACAC